rnacentral:lncRNA from 1 species
AAGUUCUACUACAGUAGCAAUACAGUGGAGGGAACUCUUUGCCUGUCUUGUGGAGCUGGUGUGUGUCAUCCUAAUGAAGCUGUAUCUCACAUCACCUGCACUAAUGAUGAGUGCUUACCAAGGGAAAUAGGACCACGUCAGUCCUGUUGGUUUAAACCACCAGCUACAGUUUCAGUUCCUUGUGGAGCAUCUGUUAAUGAAUUGUCAUCUGACAGAAGUAGAAGUAAAAUACCAGUUGAGAGGAGCAAUAAAGUACAAAUAAAACCUGAUACAUUGGAUAACCUGUUAGACAAGAAGCCUCUAAAGAGUGACCUCCUUAGGUUGUUCAAGGAUUCUGGUGUUCAUAGUAAAAUUAUUGUUUACCUCAGAUAACCUCAUACUAGUGUUUGAGAGAUGGAUAGACUCUGGUAAUGACGUGACCUGGAGGAAUAUACUGGAGGUUUGUGGAGAUUAUCCGGAUGAACUUGGAAAAGCAGAAGCUGAUGUGAAAGUUUUUCUAUCUUCAGACAGAGCCAGAAACAACUAUAAAUAAUUGUACUUAGCAUGUUUGAUUACAUUGAUACAUAUUAUUAUCAUUAUUUGUGAUGUUUUGGAUUUCUAGUUUCGUUUCAUUAUAAAAAUUCCAAUACAA